GAACGACUCUCGGCAAUGGAUAUCUCGGCUCUCGCAUCGAUGAAGAACGUAGCGAAAUGCGAUACUUGGUGUGAAUUGCAGAAUCCCGUGAACCAUCGAGUCUUUUUGCGCCCGAAGCCCUCGUGGCCAGGGCACGUCUGUCUGGGCGUCACGCA
rnacentral:rRNA from 1 species